CCUGGGUCCACUUCAAUUGCUCUGCUAUUUCUGAAUCGGGUUGCAGCACUUUUGGAGCAAACAAAACAUAUACUUUAUAUGUGAGUUGGACUUAUGGGGCAAUGGAACAGCACCUGAGUCAACUUUCGGGUCAUUUGGUGGGGACCAGUUGGUUUGAGUCCAUCACUCUGAUCAAGUGAUGGGCAGAGCCAGGGAAAGGGAAGAGAGAGAUGCAGAAUUUUGUAGGAUGUCAUUUAAAUAUUUCUAAGAGCCAGAAUGGAAGAAGGAGAAACACAUUCAGAAUAGAAUCAAGCAAAAAAUAAAUUAUUUUGGCUGAUAAAGUGGUAAGCUAACUGGGGCAGUGUCAGGCUUAUAGAUACACCAGGUAAGGAUGUAUUUUAAAAUUGGAAGAGACCAGCACUUUGUAAUGGGCAUGGACUUGGAGUUGGUUUGGCUCAUGGUAAUGAUGAAAAGAGUUUACUGUGUUGAAGAUCAUUGUCAUGGAGCAAACCAAAUCUCAUACUGAUUGAGUUAGGGAAAGAUGCCCAUAAGGUCUGAGUAAUGAAUCUCACACCUCAGCCAACAACCUCAAGCCAAAAUGGAUGCUUGUCCUACUGUAGUAGGGACCACCACUGGUGUGGGUUAGUGAAACUCCUUUCUGAAGGGGUCUUCAUCCUUUCCAGGCUUUGAGCUAGGGAGACAGUGGAGUAAGCCAAAUCCAUAGGGUUAGCAUUUCUGUGUAAACUUGUGGAGAGAUUUUUACAAAUAUAAUAUGUAUUUGUUUGGUAUUUCAAAUAUUUGUAAAAGAGAACUUAAUCUGUUAGAGAAUUGUGAUCUCAACUUAAAGAGUGUAUAUUUUUAGAGGUAUAAAGAUAUAAAGAAAAAUUUAAAAGCCUUCUGGAAUGCUGCAGAGAAUUUGAGUUGCUAUAAUUUCAUUUUCCUACCGUCACAUAAAUAUUUGAAAAUGUUCUGCUUGUUAG
rnacentral:lncRNA from 1 species